UACGUAGGGGGCAAGCGUUGUCCGGAUGUAUUGGGCGUAAAGAGCGUGUAGGCGGCUUGACAAGUCCGCUGUGAAAACUCGAGGCUCAACCUCGAGACGUCGGUGGAAACUGUCUCGCUAGAGUCCGGAAGAGGAGAGUGGAAUUCCUGGUGUAGCGGUGAAAUGCGCAGAUAUCAGGAAGAACACCCGUGGCUAAGGCGGCUCUCUAGUACGGUACUGACGCUGAGACGCGAAAGCGUGGGGAGCGAACAGG
rnacentral:rRNA from 1 species